ACUCUGUUCUUCUCUGUCCGAUAAACUCUCUGAUUUUUUUUUUUUACUUCCUUCACUGGAAUGUAACAUCGUAAUGCUGUUUCUGAUAAAGUUUGAAUCUUUCAUCCUCAUUCAUGAACAGAUUCUCCAUCAUUCCUUGUUCUUUACGGUUAUCUUCAAUCGUUUCUUAUGCUGAGCUCAUCGAAUUCAACGGCCGAGAUCGACUCUUGUCCCAGGCAAGAAAGCUUCAUGCUCAUCUGGUAACAUCCGGGAUUGCUCGCUUAACGAGAAUUGCAGCUAAGCUUGUGGCGUUUUACGUGGAAUGUGGGGAAGUUACAGACGCUAAGAAGGUGUUCGAUGAAAUGCGCAAGAGAGACAUUAGUGGAUGGGUUGUCAUGAUUGGGGCUUGUGCUCGAAACGGGUAUUACCAGGAGUCUUUAAAUAUCUUCAGAGAAAUGAAUGGAGAAGGUUUAAAGCUUGAUGCUUACAUCGUUCCUAGUGUUCUUAAAGCAAGUCGCAAUCUGCUUGACCAAGAGUUCGGAAAGAUGAUGCAUUGUGUGGUGCUCAAGUGUUCGUUUGAGUCUGAUGGUUUUAUAGUUAGCUCGCUUAUUGAUAUGUAUUCGAAGUUUGGGGAGGUAGAGAAUGCGAGGAAGGUGUUUAGUGAAUCGUCUGGACAAGAUCUGGUUGUGUUCAAUGCUAUGAUCUCUGGUUAUGCUAACAAUAGCCAAGCAGAUGAAGCUUUGAACUUGGUGGGAGAUAUGAAACUAGCGGGGAUACAACCUGAUGUUAUCACUUGGAAUGCUCUGAUUGCAGGAUUCUCGCAUAUCGGAGAUGAAGAAAAAGUAUCUGAGAUGCUUGAGAUGAUGUGUUUGGAUGGUCACAAGCCUGACGUUGUGUCAUGGACCUCUAUUAUAUCAGGCCUUGUACAUAACUUUCAGAACGCUAAGGCUUUAGAUGCUUUUAAACAGAUGUUAGCUCACGGGUUGUAUCCAAACUCGGCUACCAUCACUACCCUUUUGCCUGCUUGUACCACGCUCGCGAAUGUGAAGCACGGGAAGGAGAUUCAUGGAUACUCGGUAGUCAGCGGACUUGAAGACCACGGUUUCGUUAGAAGUGCUUUGCUCGAUAUGUACGGGAAAUGCGGAUUCAUUUCAGAAGCAAUGAUCUUGUUUCACAAAACUACUAAGAAGACAACGGUUACUUUCAACUCGAUGAUCUUCUGCUACGCAAAUCACGGGCUCUCGGAAAAAGCAGUUGAACUGUUUGAACAGAUGGAAGCCACGGGAGAGAGGCUCGACCACUUAACGUUCACGGCCAUCCUCACAGCCUGCAGCCACGGCGGGUUAACUGAUCUUGGACAGAAGUUGUUCCUUUUGAUGCAGAACAAGUACAGAAUCGAGCCUAGGUUGGAGCAUUACGCUUGUAUGGUGGAUCUUUUGGGGCGAGCAGGGAAGGUUGUUGAGGCCUAUGAGAUGAUCAGCGCUAUGCUAAUGGAGCCGGACUUGUUUGUGUGGGGUGCUUUGUUGGGUGCGUGUAGGAAUCAUGGGAACAUAGAGCUUGCAAGGAUUGCAGCAGAGCGCUUAGCAGAACUUGAACCAGAGAACUCAGGGAAUAGAUUGCUUCUGUCCAGUUUGUAUGCCAAUGCUGGUAGUUGGGGAAGUGUUGUUAGGAUGAAGAAGAUGAUAAAGAAGAAGAAGUUGAGUAGGGUUCCAGGCAGCAGCUGGAUGUUUUGAGAAAUCUCUCCAAAUCAUCACCCAAGAUCAAACACGAGAUCAACCGUUUGUUGGAUAAGAUGCUGAGCUUGGAGAAACAAAGGCCUGAAUCGUCAUCAUCGGAGGAGGCCCAAGCUGUGACUCCGUAGGUCGUCUCCGGUAAUGUCUUCGUCGCUUUAGUAGCCGCCAGUGCCGGUGAUGCUUAUUAUCUUUCAUUCUCCAAGAAACGCAGAGGGUGUUUGGAUCCAGAGAAUGGGAGGUUAUCAAAGUGGUUUCACCAAAAGCAACACACCAACCCAAACACCAUGAGGAACCC